GAAAUAUCUGAGGAUCACGCAGACGGCCAAAUUCUCCUACAGUGUUUUCAUCAUCAAGAGCAUCACCUAUGGAGCCUUUGUGGGGUUUCUGGUGUGGAAACUUCAGAGUUCAGCUGGAAAGCAGAACAACUGAGAGCUGAACGCAUGGACCACGAGGUCGAAAGUUUUUUUGUAAACAAAGGUUGAAAACAUUGUUAUAUCGCCACAUCUUUGUUUGAUGCAGCGCUUUUUGCAUCCUGCUAUAUAAUAGAGCUCUAUGCAUGCUCUUGUCAGAGGAUUUCUUUGUGACCUGGGUCCUGUUUUUCAAUGUUUUUGAAAUUGCUCCAGUAUUGAGCAAAUAGUGGAUGUUAUUGUACAAUUUAAUCCCUGCUGACAAUUAUGCACUGUCAAUAGACGUCCAUUAAAAAAGUUUAUUUUUGCCACUGACAGGCUCAGAUUUUUAUAUAGACCCAGCAUGGUUUCACAUCUAACUGGGUGAAGAGAGUUAAUGAUUGGUCGAACAGUGGAAAGACAAACUAAAAAAGCUUUUUGGAGCUUUAUUCUUAUUCGUACUUUUACUUUAUUUUAUUUUUCUGUGUUUUUUUAAAUGAUAAAAUGAGUGUUUAUUUGAAUAGAAUCUGGUGGUUAAAAAAAGUCUAGUUAAAAAAAAGAAAAAAAUAGAGUAGUCUACUCUAAGAAAAGGUCUAACUCUGUGAGGAUCCUUUCCAUAACGUUGUCAGACGAUAAUUUAUCAAUCUGAGUCUGUAAAUGGCAAAAACAAGCACUUUUAUUGGUUGCACAUUGACAAUGCACAAAUGCUCAUUAGGGUAACAUUAUAGCCUGUUUUGCUGCUGUCGGCUGCAGCACUCAAAAAUGAUUGACUCAGAAACAUGAGAAAAUAUGGUCCAGGUUGAAAAAUACCAUAGUUACCGCUUAAAACUUUUCCUGACAUACUUUGGCAUCACAUUUUUAUGAAUACUUGUGACAUUAAUUCUGUGUUUGUGAAUCACUUGUUUGCUUGAUUGUCUUCUCAAUUAAAAUAUUUCAAA